CCUAUGAUUAUUUUGGUCAAGGGGAUGAAUUAUAUGAAAACUAUAUCCGCAUGGGUUCUAAGGAUGUUGUUCUACACAUUCGACCUAUCCAGUCGUCGGGUACCAUUGCUAGAUGGUCACUUCGAUUGGUACAGAAAUUUAUUUCCAUGCUACCAGCUUAGGUUCAGACCUAUGAGGUCACACACAUUAGAGUUCAUGAUCCGAUCAGAUGGUUGAUCAACGAUUAAGAAUCAUUCUAGGGUUAAAUGAUCAAUACGAUUGACAUUUAACCCAGUGCAAGUGUUGCAGGAGGAUCGAUUAGCAAUUUGAUUGCUAAUUGACUUAAUUUGAUUAAGUCAAUGGGCUGAGAUUAAGUAUAAUUAAAUAUAAUUUAAUUAGAUUUAGUUUGGGCUUGAUUGGAUCAAGUCCAAUUGGUUUAUUGGAUAAGCCAA
rnacentral:lncRNA from 1 species